rnacentral:rRNA from 1 species
GGUUCAGUCCACAUAGCCCAUAAAAUAAAGGAGGGAAUAUAACUCAAUUUGGUAGAGUAUUGCUUUUGCACAGCAAAGGUUAGCGGUUCAAAUCCGCUUAUUUCCACAAAAAAAUUGCAUAGAGUGGAAUCCUAGGUAUCUAGAGUCGAAGAAGGGCGUUUUAUGAUUACGAUAAGCUUAAAACAUAUUAUUUUAAGAUCCCCUAAUAGGACAACCCAAAAAAAAUUUAGAAAUAAAUUUUUUUUAUUCUCUUUUAAAUUCAUAAAAAAGAGAAUGGUAACUCAGUGAACUGAAUCAUCUUAGUAACUGAUGGAAAAGAAAGCAAAAGCGAUUUCCUUAGUAGUAGUGAGCAAAAAGGAAGCAGUCUAAAAAAAGAUUUCUAUUUUUUUAUUUAUGAAAUAAUUAAUAUUUAUGCCAAAGAGCGGUUUUAGCCCAGUAAUAAAAAAAAUAAUAAUUUUUAAAUCGGUUUGAAAAGUAAUAUGG